rnacentral:rRNA from 1 species
AUUGAACGCUGGCGGAAUGCUUUACACAUGCAAGUCGAACGGUAGAGGGGGGCAACCCCUUGAGAGUGGCGAACGGGUGAGUAAUAUAUCGGAACGUGCCCAGUCGUGGGGAUAACGUAGCGAAAGUUACGCUAAUACCGCAUACGAUCUACGGAUGAAAGCGGGGGACUCGCAAGAGCCUCGCGCGAUUGGAGCGGCCGAUAUCAGAUUAGGUAGUUGGUGGGGUAAAGGCUCACCAAGCCAACGAUCUGUAGCUGGUCUGAGAGGACGACCAGCCACACUGGAACUGAGACACGGUCCAGACUCCUACGGGAGGCAGCAGUGGGGAAUUUUGGACAAUGGACGCAAGUCUGAUCCAGCCAUUCCGCGUGCAGGAUGAAGGCCCUCGGGUUGUAAACCUGCUUUUGUACGGAACGAAAAGGUUUCUAUUAAUACUAGGAGCUCACGACGGUACCGUAAGAAUAAGCACCGGCUAACUACGUGCCAGCAGCCGCGGUAAA